rnacentral:rRNA from 1 species
UACGGAGGGUGCAAGCGUUAUCCGGAUUUAUUGGGUUUAAAGGGUGCGUAGGCGGAAUGAUAAGUCAGUGGUGAAAUCCUACGGCUCAACCGUAGAACUGCCAUUGAUACUGUCGUUCUUGAGUACAGUUGUAGUGGGCGGAAUAUGUCAUGUAGCGGUGAAAUGCAUAGAUAUGACAUAGAACACCGAUCGCGAAGGCAGCUCACUAAGCUGUAACUGACGCUCAGGCACGAAAGCGUGGGGAGCAAACAGGAUUAGAUACCCCCGUA